GCCAGCAGCCGCGGUAAUACGGGGGGUGCAAGCGUUAUACGGAAUUAUUGGGCAUAAAGCGUCUGUAGGUUGUGUAAUAAGUCUGUUGUUAAAGACUAGGGCUUAACCCUAUAAAAGCAAUGGAAAUACUAGACUAGAGUAUGGAAGGGGUAGAGGAAAUUUCUAGUGUAGCGGUGAAAUGCGUAGAUAAUAGAAAGAACACCGGUGGCGAAGUCGCUCUACUGGACCAUUACUUACACUCAGAGGCGAAAGCUAGGGUAGCAAAAGGGAUUAGAUACCCCAGUAGUCUUAGCCGUAAAGGAUGGAUACUAGAUGUUGUGAGUAAAGUACAGUAUCCUAGCUAACGCGUUAAGUAUUCCGCCUGGGGAGUACGCUCGCAAGGGUGAAAAUCAAAGGAAUUGACGGGGGCCUGCACAAGCGGUGGAGCAUGUGGUUUAAUUCGAUGCAACGCGAAGAACCUUACCAGGACUUGACAUACUACAAAUUCUUUAGAGAUAGAGAAGUGCCUUCGGGAAUGUAGAUACAGGUGGUGCAUGGCUGUCGUCAGCUUGUGUCGUGCGAUGUUGGGUUAAGUCCCGCAACGAGCGCAACCCUUGUUUUUAGUUACUAAUUCAUUAGGUUUUCUAGAAAGACUGCCGGUGACAAACCGGAGGAAGGUGAGGAUGACGUCAAGUCACAUGCCCUUUAUGUCCUGGGCUACACACGUGCUACAAUGGCUAAGACAAAGAGUCGCGAGAGUUAGCUAAUCUCAAAACUUAGCCUAAGUUCAGAUUGCAGGCUGCAACUCCCCUUGCAUGAAGUUGAAAUCGC
rnacentral:rRNA from 1 species